AUAGGAGGUCCAGCCUGCCCAGUGACUACGGGUUUAACGGCCGCGGUAUUUUGACCGUGCAAAGGUAGCGCAAUCACUUGUCUCUUAAAUAGAGACCUGUAUGAAUGGCUAGACGAGGGCUUAACUGUCUCCCCCCUCCAGUCAGUGAAAUUGAUCUAUCCGUGCAGAAGCGGGUGUGAUUAUACAAGACGAGAAGACCCUUUGGAGCUUAAGGUACAAAAUUCAACCACGUUAAACGACUCUGUAAAAGGCAGGAACUUAGUGGCACAUGAAGUUUUACCUUCGGUUGGGGCGACCACGGAGGAGAGAAAAGCCUCCGAGUGGACUGGGCCAAGUCCCAAAGCUAAGAGAUACAUCUCUAAGCCGCAGAAUAUCUGACCAAAAUGAUCCGACUAAUAAAGUCGAUCAACGAACCAAGUUACCCUAGGGAUAACAGCGCAAUCCUCUCCCAGAGUCCAUAUCGACGAGGGGGUUUACGACCUCGAUGUUGGAUCAGGACAUCCUAAUGGUGCAGCCGCUAUUAAGGGUUCGUUUGUUCAACGAUUAAAGUCC
rnacentral:rRNA from 1 species